rnacentral:lncRNA from 1 species
GCAGGAUCUCUUCUCCCUUCGAACCCCUUCCAAUUUCUAUUCUUUCUAAAGCAAGUAAGCAACACUACAUCUUGUCAGACGUGCGGCUGCACAUAACGAGGGAAUGUUGUGUCAAGCUUGGGGAUGUCUGGAUAAGAUGGCUUGUGUUUCAAGGUCUUGUGUUCUUCCAAAUUAAUUGUAUAUUGUGUUCUUGUAAAACUGUUUCUCACUAUUAAUUUGGAUACAUGUGUUUGUUGGGGUUCUGUAUGCAGAGCUAAUGAUCGAGAAGAAAUCUUUAUUACCAAAGCUGAUUCAGUACAAUGGUGUCGAAGGGGGACUUCCUUAGCUUCUUCAACAGAUCAGGACAACAGAUUAGGAAAUUGAGAUA